rnacentral:rRNA from 1 species
AUGCGGGGCGUGCGAGCUCGGCCGCCGGUGAGCUCGUUCUCCUCAACGCUGGAGCUCGUCAAGACCACCGUGUGCAUCUUCACGGGACGCCUCUGCUCUAACGCAAUGGAGCUCGUCGAGCUCGACCCACUAGCGCCCGUCACCGAAGUACAAGGAGUUGGACUCAGAGUCCCUACUGUUAUGGAGGAUUUCAAGGAGUUUAUUGAUGAUGUCAUGUCUGGUGAUGGGUCAUGGGGAGAGGAGGAGGAGAUCUUGAGCCAUUGGGUUAGUGAAGUGAGGUCAUCUGUCUCCCGUUGCAACGCACGGGCAUCCGUGGGUUCACCGUUACAAUAUGCCUCUUCCCGUGAAUUUACGCUUUCAGUUUUUUUCAUCUAUAUUAUUUUUUACAUCCGAGGUGGUACUAUUUUACCUGCGUAUCUUUACCUCUAUACAUAA